rnacentral:rRNA from 1 species
AUGGAGUUGUCUAUGGAACAUUUCCUUGAUGUGAUAGGCAUAUUUGUUUACCACAUUCAGUUGUUGGCCCUGCUGUUGACGUCCAUGGUGGCGCUGAUGAUGAUCUUGGCAAGGAUUUUAUGUAUCUGCCUGGGGCCUUGGUAUGUUCUUGAGCACGCAUCAGGUCAAAGGAAGAAGUCGAACCUGAAGAAGUGCAGGGAAGAAUUUCAGCUACGUGUGGUCGGCUGGUUCAGGGGACGUGCAGGGCGGGCGCGGCCGCGCGGGUGCCGGGGCAGGCUCCUGGGCACUGGCGAUCUCGCGGGCGCGGCCCCGCGGGUGCCGGGGCAGGCUCCUGGGCACUGGCGAUCUCGCAGACGGAUGCCACGCUGCAAGGGCAGGCUCCUGGACGCCCGCUAUGUCGCUGACGGAUUCCACGCUGCGAGCGGCAACAAUCGGCGAUGGCGAUCGUGCAGGGAGGCCGGAGGCGACAGAGUGGUGCAGUGCCGCGAGGUCGCCGUGCAGGCAGGCAGUGGCGGAGCUAUGUUAUAA